ACCAAAUUCCGUCUUACUCGAGUCGUUCCUAUACUUGCAAGGCUUGUGGCUCUGCUGGUAAUGGAUUUUGUUUUAGCUGUGCUGCUUGUGAAUUUGAUAUUCACUUGCAAUGUGCGUCCAGUCCUAGCUCCAUACUUGUUAAUAGCCACCUGCAUCAAUUGGAGCUCCACUUCGGUUCUCCAUACGAAGAUAAGAAUAUCAAAUACAAUUGUGAUAUGUGCAAUGUGAUAAUGAACAAGGACGAUUGGUUGUACUACUGUGCUGGGUGUGAUUUCGGGUCACACUUGCGGUGUGCAAUAACUAGUCCUGAAGUCGGUGUUUUCCCCAAACAGCAGCGUCCAAUUCCAAAUUCAAAUCCAAAUCCAAAUCCAAGUCCAAGUCAGAAUUCGAAUUCAAAUUCAAAUUUAAAUCCAAAUGCGGCGGUGGAAAUGAUUAAUUCAGUGAAUGCUGCUCAUGAGCAGCUUAUAGCAGCUCAAAUUCGCGCUCAGUUUGUGGCACGAGGACAAGAGGCUGCUCUGGACUUAAUUUAGGCAUACAAUUGCAUAUAUCUAAUGCUUACGCUUUGGCCUUCUUCAGUUUUUAUUGCAAAAUAAAUGCUUUAUUGUUGUUAUCGUGUUAUUUCUCUUUCAAAUUUGUAUCUUUAAUCAUCAAGUUUCUCCAUUUUUGUUUUGGUUUCUAUGUUUAUGGAUUAUAAACUGACAUCAUGAGAAUGGAAUUCUUUUACUGGAAAGCCACACUCAUACUCCAUAAAAAUGUAAUCAAGAUAAUCCUCAAUAAAUCUUUGUGGCUCCCCUCCAUUACCCUUUCCCUCCAUUUCGUCAAGUACACAUCUAGAUGAAAGACAUGUGUAUUAUUUAAUUGUUAAAAGUCAAGAUUAUGUUGCAUUAACUAGUAUCAUAACCAUAGUUAAGGAAUAAGUUUUGGAACAAAUAAUUUCUUAACUUGGGCAAGAAAAAUAUUCCUACAAAUCUUUGAACAGUUUAAUUUCAUUUUUUAUUUCUAUAGUCAAAUAUUAAUAUUGUACAUUAUUUAAUCGCUUCCUAUGCUAGCAAAUUUAUUCUUGAAAUAUUAGGUUGAGAAAUUUAAAAAAUAAAAGGAAGAAUUAUCAUUGAUGAUAGAAAUCAUAUAAUAUAAAAUGGGAAGUAAAAAAUGCAUUAGAAUUACAAAUGUGAGAGUAUAAAAAAAAAUUCUUUUUAAAAAAUAAAAUAAAAGAAAAUAUCAAUUUAAACGCAAAAUAUUUUGUAAGACUACUGUUAGGCUAAACAAAUUAAACGUUGUUAAGUUCAUGUUCCAUAAUUUUAAUAUUUAAAUAUAAAAAUAUAAAAUAAAAUUAAUGAUAUAAAUAUAUGGAUACGAAAAAUUGAGAAGAAUUAAUUAUUCUUACUAAAUUUGGAGAGAAUUUUUUUUCAAAACUUAUUCACUUAACUAUGGUUAUGAUACUAGUUAAUGCAAUAUAAUCUUGACCUUUAACAAUUAAAUAGUACAUAUGUCUCUCAUCCAGACGUGUACUUGACGAAAUGGAGGGGAGCCAAAUCCCAAAGUCUUACUAUAAACUUAAAAUUUUGGCUUCGCAAAAUCAUGAAAGAGCAGCUCGAUGCAUAAAAUAUUUCAUAUUCACACAUGAUAUAAAAAUAAAAAAAAGAGUUGCAUUUGAAACAAUGUGAUAUAAACAAUCUACUCUAGUGUAAAUAGAAAAAUUAAGCGGACAUAUAUGACUGUUCGUGUGGCAAGUUAAUUUUGAGACACUACGGUCUACCAUAAUCAAACUCCAACGCGUUCAAUUAAGUAUUAGUCAAUAGUCAGCACUAGGAUAAUGAAUGAUAAAAAUGCCAACUUGCUAAGAUCAAAAAGUCGAACAGUUGAUUGUUGCCGUAACAUGCAUCCAUGAACCUCAAUGAAGUUGACUUCAAAAGUUAUCAAUUUGCCGAAAUCAGUCGAUUUAAUUUCACAGUUUAUAUGUCAGAGACAACCUAUAAAUCUAGAUAGAGCUGCUUUUUUUUUAAUUUGGAUCUGAUAUACAUAUUGGGGCUCACGACUAAAUUUGGAUUCAUGUCGAAAAAUCUCAAUUGAGAUAAUUAUUCACCUGACAAGUUGAUUAGUAUUAAGACGAUACAAUAAUCAGACUCCAAUGUGUGAUGCAGAUUAGAACAAGCUCUGAAUGAACUGGUAGUCGACCAGCACUACUUAGGAAAAUGAUUGAUGAAAUGCCAACUUGUAUGAGCAAAAAGUCAGCUGCCGGAACUUCGAUGAACCUCAACACAGUUGACUUGUGAAUUACGUAUUAAUAUUCUCGGAGCCAUUUUAGUCAAAGUCAAAAAAACGAAGAUGCUCGGCCCCAUUUUAGUACGUAGACAAUGGAUACCAGUUAGUCAAUCAACUGGCCAAAUUGUUAUAGCAAAAGAAGAAAAUAUGUAAGCAAAGGAAACAAUUAAAAUAUCUAUAAAUAUAAAUCAUCACUUGCAGAUGGCUAAGCUAACUCUCCAUUAUAGUACUGCACAACAAAAUUACAAGAAAAAAAAUGGGAAGACAAAACCGGGGUACAAAUGCGGGACCUCAAGAUAAACAACACUUCAGUCAUUCUCACAUCUUGAAACUAAUUAUGAAUCCAACUGAAACUCUCAAUUGCAAUGCCUGUGAGAAACCAAACAAUAGUCACACGCCUUUCUACGGCUGCAACACCUGCCAAUAUUUCCUCCACGAUAACUGUUUCAAUGCUCCGCGUUUUAUCAAUCACUCGUCUCAUCCUUCCCACCCCUUGAC
rnacentral:lncRNA from 1 species